rnacentral:rRNA from 1 species
GACGAACGCUGGCGGCGUGCCUAAUACAUGCAAGUAGAACGCUGAAGGAGGAGCUUGCUCUUCUGGAUGAGUUGCGAACGGGUGAGUAACGCGUAGGUAACCUGCCUGGUAGCGGGGGAUAACUCUUGGAAACGAUAGCUAAUACCGCAUAACAGUAGAUGUUGCAUGACAUUUACUUAAAAGGUGCAAUUGCAUCACUACCAGAUGGACCUGCGUUGUAUUAGCUAGUUGGUGGGGUAACGGCUCACCAAGGCGACGAUACAUAGCCGACCUGAGAGGGUGAUCGGCCACACUGGGACUGAGACACGGCCCAGACUCCUACGGGAGGCAGCAGUAGGGAAUCUUCGGCAAUGGACGGAAGUCUGACCGAGCAACGCCGCGUGAGUGAAGAAGGGUUUCGGAUCGGAAAGCUCUGUUGUAAGAGAAGAACGAGUGUGAGAGUGGAAAGUUCACACUGUGACGGUAUCUUACCAGAAAGGGACGGCUAACUACGUG